AUGUUCAUCAAAAAAUGGACGUGUAAGCAGCUCGACUAUAACAUUUGCACAGAAUUCAAUCAACCACAGCACUUGCGUCGUCUCGUUCACAUGUUCAAGCCGACAGAUAUAACAGUUUCGUUGCAUUUCGGACCAUAUAUUCCCUCGGCGACUGCCCAUGAGCCCAACUCAAUGCACAAUCACUUGGCUGCGCUCUCUGAUACGACGCUGGCAAUGGAAAAGGAUUUCCGGCUGGAUUGUGCUCACGCGUUGAGCUUGCCUCCAGAUUCGUCGAAAAAGGAGCUCGGAAUGCUGUACGGAGAAGCUGGAAAAGGACGAGCAUUCGGAAUUCAAAUGCUCCGGACUCUCACCGCGAUCCGUAAAUUCGUUGGAAUGAUGGCCGAGAAGCGAAUGGCGCAGACGAAGGGUGUCGCGAUUCGCAAAUUUGUCGUCAACGGCCCGGGCAUUCAUGACAAGCCAUGUGCAAAACUGCAACAACUGCUCAAGGAGGAUGGUCUCGACGAGGCUAACAAGAUGCGCGGCGCCUAUGCUACUGGAGAAAGGGUUUUUUCCUGAAUUUUGAUCUCAAAAUUUGAAAAUUCGUCGAAUUUUGACCAAAAAAUUUGAAAAUUCCUGAAUUUUGGCCUAAAAAUCAGAAAAUUCCUUAAUUUUGGCCUAAAAAUCAGAAAAUUCCUUAAUUUUGGCCUAAAAAUCUGAACACUCCCCGAAUUUCGACCUAAAAAGCUCAAAAGUCCCAAAAAUUUCGACCUCAAUAUCUGAAAAUUCCUUAAUUAUGUGAAAAAAAAAGAUAAAAAUCUAAUUUUUCCCCCCGAUUUGUAGGUGUACGUUUGCGUGCGGAACGAUCUCCGUCGAGCCUUCAAGUACUCUUUGGCAAUGCCAGCCACCGCAUUCAAAAUGUCAAUCGGAAAUGAGCAAUUAUUGCUCUUCACUAAGUCUGUGCCGGUUUUUCAUUGCUUUUUCCGCACAAAUGUCGACGAACAAGGCGUCGUGCAGCUCAUUACGGAAUGGCAAAAAGGCGAGCGUAACAUUGAAGAAAUCCAACUGCACCUGGAUCGAGUGAUUGAGCCCAAUUUCGUAGAUCAUUUGAACGCGGAUCACGCGGAUCCAAAGCGCGUCAAAGUUCGACGAGUUGUAAACGGCCGCAAAACCACGCUGUACAUUGAACGAGAUCGUCUGGGAUCCCGCCAUCUCGCCUUGAGAACACUGGACACUAAAUAA
rnacentral:misc_RNA from 1 species